AACGCGAAGAACCUUACCAGGGCUUAAAUGGGAGACGACAGUUUAGGAAACUAGACUUUCUUCGGACGUCUUUCAAGGUGCUGCAUGGUUGUCGUCAGCUCGUGCCGUGAGGUGUCAGGUUAAGUCCUAUAACGAGCGCAACCCCUGUUGUUAGUUGCCAGCGAGUCAAGUCGGGAACUCUAACAAGACUGCCGGUGUAAACCGUGAGGAAGGUGGGGAUGACGUCAAAUCAUCACGGCCCUUACGUCCUGGGCCACACACGUGCUACAAUGGCAGGUACAGAGAGCAGCCACUUAGCGAUAAGGAGCGAAUCUAUAAAACCUGUCUCAGUUCGGAUUGGAGUCUGCAACUCGACUCUAUGAAGCUGGAAUCGCUAGUAAUCGGAUAUCAGCCAUGAUCCGGUGAAUACGUUCCCGGGUCUUGUACACACCG
rnacentral:rRNA from 1 species